rnacentral:rRNA from 1 species
GACGAACGCUGGCGGCGUGCCUAAUACAUGCAAGUAGGACGCAGUUGCGAACGGGUGAGUAACGCGUAUGUCACUACAUAUUAGAGGGGGAUAACUAUUGGAAACGAUAGCUCAUACCGCAUACUAGUAGAUGGAACUGCGUUGUAUUAGCUAGUAUGUAGGGUAAUGGCCUACCUAGGCAACGAUACAUAGCCGAGCUGAGGGGGUGGUCGGCCACACUGGGACUGAGACAAGGGUCAGACUCCUACGGGAGGCAGCAGUAGGGAAUCUUUGGAAAUGGGGGGAAAGCUGACCGAGCAACGCCGCGGGAGGGGAGAAGGGUUUCGGGUCGGAAAGCGCUGUUGUUAAGGAAGCGGUACGUAACCAGAAAGGGACGGCUAACUACGUGCCAGCAGCCGCGGUAAUAC